rnacentral:lncRNA from 10 species
AAGUUUACAGGCAAGAUCCUACUCACAGAGGCUCUUGGGAUCAAGGCUGACAGAAGCUCCAUCUGAAGACUUUUAUACUAUAGAGGCAGAAAAAGAGUGAUGAAUCAAGCACUGGCUUCUAAAGCUUCCGCCCAGAUGGGAAGCAUAUCUCCUCUGCUCACAUUUCCCUGACCAAAGCCAGUCACAUGGCCAUCCUCAGCUUCAGAGAGGUUGGGAAGGCAUUCCCACUAUGUGUCUGGAUGCCAGCAACUCAGAAAUAUUUG